CAGACGAUGCGUCAUGCAUAUCAAUAAGCGGAGGAAAAGAAACUAACAAGGAUUCCCCUAGUAACGGCGAGUGAAGCGGGAAGAGCUCAAAUUUGAAAUCUUAAAGGGUUUCCCUUUACGAAUUGUAGUUUAAAGAAGUGUUUUCUGUUGAGGUUUUGGUAAAAGUUCUUUGGAAUAGGACAUCAUAGAGGGUGAGAAUCCCGUAUUUGACCUUUACUUUCAACUUUGUGAUACACUUUCAAAGAGUCGGAUUGUUUGGGAAUGCAGUCCAAAAUGGGUGGUAAAUUUCAUCUAAAGCUAAAUAUUGGCGAGAGACCGAUAGCGAACAAGUACCGUGAGGGAAAGAUGAAAAGAACUUUGAAGAGAGAGUUAAACAGUACGUGAAAUUGUCAAAAGGGAAGCGUUUGACACCAGUGUUGUUUUUCUGAAAAUCAAUUAAAGAACUGUUUAUGCUAAGUUGUUUAGACUUUAUCAGCUAACUGUUUAGUUUUGAGCUUUUCUUUAAUGCACUUUUCAGUUAACAAGUCAACAUCAAUUUCUUUUGCUGUAAAAAAGCUUGAGGAAGGUGGCUUGAGAUUCGUCUUAAGUGUUUAUAGCCUCUUGCCUAUGCAGUCGGAGAGAUUGAGGUCUGCAGCGUAGAUCCUUCGGGGCUAAAUGCAUUUGUGCUAAGUUAUAGCAUUUUAUAGACAACUUGUUGACUAUGAUUUGUCUUGUAGCUUACUCGCUUAUGUUAUUUUACCUACGCUUAGGAUGUUGAGCGCAUGUCUCUCUCU
rnacentral:rRNA from 1 species